GUCGGUCGUGAAAGUUCAGGGCUCAACCCUGAAAUGUCGAUCGAUACUGUUGUGACUAGGAUACGGUAGAGGUGAGUGGAAUUCCGAGUGUAGCGGUGAAAUGCGUAGAUAUUCGGAGGAACACCAAUUGCGAAGGCAGCUCACUGGGCCGCUAUCGACGCUGAGGAGCGAAAGCUAGGGGAGCAAACAGGAUUA
rnacentral:rRNA from 1 species